rnacentral:rRNA from 1 species
GACGAACGCUGGCGGCGUGCUUAACACAUGCAAGUCGAACGGAAAGGCCCUGCUUUUGUGGGGUGCUCGAGUGGCGAACGGGUGAGUAACACGUGAGUAACCUGCCCUUGACUUUGGGAUAACUUCAGGAAACUGGGGCUAAUACCGGAUAGGAGCUCCUGCUGCAUGGGGGGGGUUGGAAAGUUUCGGCGGUGGGGGAUGGACUCGCGGCUUACCAGCUUGUUGGUGGGGUAGUGGCUUACCAAGGCUUUGACGGGUAGCCGGCCUGAGAGGGUGACCGGCCACCUUGGGACUGAGGUACGGCCCAGACUCCUACGGGCGGCAGCAGUGGGGAAUAUUGCACAAUGGGCGGAAGCCUGAUGCAGCAACGCCGCGUGCGGGAUGACGGCCUUCGGGUUGUAAACCGCUUUCGCCUGUGACGAAGCGUGAGUGACGGUAAUGGGUAAAGAAGCACCGGCUAACUACGUG